rnacentral:misc_RNA from 1 species
GAUGAAGAACGUAGCGAAAUGCGAUAAGUAGUGUGAAUUGCAGACUUUAGUGAAUCAUCGAAUCUUUGAACGCACAUUGCGCCCCUUGGUAUUCCAUUGGGCAUGCCUGUUCGAGCGUCAUUUACACCCUCAAGCUCACGCUUGGUGUUGGGCGUCUGUCCGCGCUUUCGAGCGUGGACUCGCCCCAAAUCCAUUGGCAGCGGCUUCGCCGGCUUCUCGCGCAGCACUUUGCGUUCAAGAAGGUCUUAGGCGGGCUCGCGUCCAUCAAGUCACCCCUCAUUUUGACCUCGAAUCAGGUAGGGAUACCCGCUGAACUUAAGCAUAUCAAUAAGCGGAGGA